CAGCGGUUUGGGAGCUGUAACCCACGGGCGGUAGCGUG
rfam:Gallaecimonas xiamenensis 3-C-1 contig27, whole genome shotgun sequence.